rnacentral:rRNA from 1 species
GAAACCAAACAGGGAUUGCCUCAGUAACGGCGAGUGAAGCGGCAACAGCUCAAAUUUGAAAUCUGGCCUCGGCCCGAAUUGUAAUUUGCAGAGGAUGCUUCNGGGGCGGCACCGUGCUAAGUCCUUUGGAACAGGGCGUCCGAGNGGGUGAGAAUCCCGUACGCGCGCGGCGGCCAACCCUAUGUGAAGCUCCUUCGACGAGUCGAGUUGUUUGGGAAUGCAGCUCAAAAUGGGUGGUAAAUUUCAUCUAAAGNUAAAUACCGGCUGGAGACCGAUAGCGCACAANUNGAGUGAUCGAAANAUGAAAAGCACUUUGGNAAGANAGUUAAAAAGUNCGUGAAAUUGUUGAAAGGGAAGCGCUUGCAGCCAGACUCGCCCGGGGGUGCUCANCCGUCCUUCGGGGCGGUGCAUUCAUCCCCGGGCGGGCCAGCAUCGGUUCGGGCGGCCGGAUAAAGGCCCUGGGAACGUAGCUCCCCUCGGGGAGUGUUUAGCCCGGGGUGCCAUGCGGCCAGCCGGGACCGAGGACCGCGCUCGGCAAGAUGCGCUA